rnacentral:rRNA from 1 species
AGCAGCCGCCGCGGUAAUACGUAGGUCCCGAGCGUUGUCCGGAUUUAUUGGGCGUAAAGCGAGCGCAGGCGGUUAGAUAAGUCUGAAGUUAAAGGCUGUGGCUUAACCAUAGUAUGCUUUGGAGACUGUUUAACUUGAGUGCAGAAGGGGAGAGUGGAAUUCCAUGUGUAGCGGUGAAAUGCGUAGAUAUAUGGAGGAACACCGGUGGCGAAAGCGGCUCUCUGGUCUGUAACUGACGCUGAGGCUCGAAAGCGUGGGGAGCAAACAGGAUUAGAUACCCCCGUAGUCCCUGUCUCUUAUACA